GCUUGACUGUAUCUUGGAAUUGGGGUUCGGGCUUUUCUUGCGCAGACUAGGUGGGAGGCUAUGAAGAUUUUCCUCUGGGAAAGUUGGAGCCAACAGUGAGAGACCACUCUGGAAAGGCUAGCAUCCUAAUGGUGAUCCUUGAAUCAGGACACUUGACAGUUUCAGGUGGGCAGUUUUUCUGGGGCGGAAGCCUCAUAAAAGGUAACUGAGGCGCGCAAAGGUCCCCUCAGUCUGGACGGAAAUCAGACAUUGAGUGUAAAGGCAAAAGGGGGCUUGACUGCAAGACCCACAAGUCGAGCAGGGGCGAAAGCUGGCCUUAGUGAUCCGACGGUGCCGUGUGGAAGGGCCGUCGCUCAACGAAUAAAAGUUA
rnacentral:rRNA from 1 species